rnacentral:rRNA from 1 species
AUUGAACGCUGGCGGCAUGCUUUACACAUGCAAGUCGGACGGCAGCACAGAGAAGCUUGCUUCUUGGGUGGCGAGUGGCGAACGGGUGAGUAACAUAUCGGAACGUACCGAGCAGUGGGGGAUAACUAAUCGAAAGAUUAGCUAAUACCGCAUAUUUUCUGAGGAAGAAAGCAGGGGACCUUUGGGCCUUGCGCUGUUUGAGCGGCCGAUAUCUGAUUAGCUAGUUGGUGGGGUAAAGGCCUACCAAGGCGACGAUCAGUAGCGGGUCUGAGAGGAUGAUCCGCCACACUGGGACUGAGACACGGCCCAGACUCCUAUGGGAGGCAGCAGUGGGGAAUUUUGGACAAUGGGCGCAAGCCUGAUCCAGCCAUGCCGCGUGUCUGAAGAAGGCCUUCGGGUUGUAAAGGACUUUUGUCAGGGAAGAAAAGGGCGGGGUUAAUACCCCUGUCUGAUGACGGUACCUGAAGAAUAAGCACCGGCUAACUACGUG